rnacentral:rRNA from 1 species
GACGAACGCUGGCGGCGUGCCUAAUACAUGCAAGUCGAGCGAACAGAUGAGGAGCUUGCUCCUCUGACGUUAGCGGCGGACGGGUGAGUAACACGUGGAUAACCUACCUAUAAGACUGGGAUAACUUCGGGAAACCGGAGCUAAUACCGGAUAAUAUAUUGAACCGCAUGGUUCAAUAGUGAAAGACGGUUUUGCUGUCACUUAUAGAUGGAUCCGCGCCUCAUUAGCGAGUUGGUAAGGUAACGGCUUACCAGGGCAACGAUGCGUAGCCGACCUGAGAGGGUGUUCGCCCCCUCUGAAGUUGGCCGCCGACCCUGGUCCUGAGGGACGGCGCCGGUGCGUAUUCUACGCAAUGGGGGGAAACCUUGCCGAAUCAACGCCGGUGAGAUGAAGAAGGCCUCCGGGCGGUAAAACUCUUUUAUUGUGGAAAACCAAUUUGGAAGUAACUAUGCACGUCUUGACGGUACCUGAUCAGAAAGCCACGGCUAACUACGUG